UACUCCACCAUCAAAUAUGGAAUUAAUUCCUUCUGUCUUACCAUAUGUUUGUACCCUUUAACCCAGUCCUCCUCUUCCUCUCUUUUCUCCCACACUCACCCUUCCCAGUCUCUGUUAUUUAUUUUUCCCCUCUUGACCUCCAUGUGAUCAAAUAUUUUAGUUCCCACAUACAAGUGAGAACACGCAACUCCACAUAAUCUAUAGAAUCUAAGCAAUCCCAUUCAACAUCCCAGCAGUUAUUUUUAUGGAAAUUAGCCAGUUGAUUCUAAAGUUUAUAUGGAAAUGCACAGUAAUUCAAACAGUAUGAUAUGGACAUGAGAAUAAAUAAACAGACCAAUGAAAGAGAAUAGUGUUUAGUGGGCAUGCCUCUUUGGAAAACCACUUAGCACCUGUGAGAAGGGUCUGACCUACCCUUGCUGGUUUUGAAGAUAGUCGAAGGGUCCUCAAACCAAGGCAUGCAGAUGGCUUCUAGAAGCUGGGAAUGGAACGGUCAUAGGCUCCUGCGUGCCAGGCCAGGGCACUGUGCUGCAUCAUUCUCCCCAACGCUGUGUGGAUGCCUAUCAAUUGAUUCUGGCUGUAAACAAACAUUUUCCUCUGAAUCUUGCCGUUCUUCCUGCCCUGUCUCCAGACCUUUAAUCCCGGCUCCAAGCAGUGGGAACAGAGAGCUGAGGUAGCACAAACACCCCCAGGAACUCUGCUCAGCCCCCAAGCCAUGAAGAAGUGAGAACUUGCACCAGGAGCAAACACAGCAAAAGGGGUUUGUGAGGGUGCAGGAUUCUCUGCUCCCUAAGUGGCCCUGGUCCCUGGCCUCGGGAAGGAGCACAUCUUUACAAUCUCAAUACACCUUUCCAGCUGGUGGCUGUCUGCUGUCAUAUUAGUAGUACUGAA
rnacentral:lncRNA from 1 species